rnacentral:rRNA from 1 species
ACGCUCGACACCUACGGGAGCAGCAGUAGGGAAUCUUCCACAAUGGGCGCAAGCCUGAUGGAGCAACACCGCGUGAGUGAAGAAGGGUUUCGGCUCGUAAAGCUCUGUUGUUGGAGAAGAACGUGCGUGAGAGUAACUGUUCACGCAGUGACGGUAUCCAACCAGAAAGUCACGGCUAACUACGUGCCCGCAGCCGCGGUAAUCUGAGCGGGCUGGCAAGGC